AUUCUACCUGUGUGAAUUUGGGAAACAACUUAACCUCUCAUUGCUUCAGUUUCAAAUAAAAUGUGUACAAUGUCUGUGUAAAAUGUAAUGCAACAAGAUGAAAGCCGAAUCCACGGACUGCAUUGUUAAGGUUUGGAGAGGAAAAUGGUGAACCCUCAGAAGAGGCUGUCCCUCAGAGCAGGCUGUCCCUCAGCCAGAAUUUGGAGAGACCACGGAGGCACUGAUUGAUCUUCCCCCCAACAGAAAAUUACCACUUUGGAAUUGCUUAGGUUGAAAUGUUAAGAAGUUGCUAGACGUCAAACAUGCAGUCAGACACGCCGUUUUUGCGUCGUUCUCCAUUGCUUGCUCCUGUGGCUGAGAAGCCGCACCACCAGAGAUGAGCGGCGGCGAAGCUGGGACUGCGUGGUCUCCGGGGCCUCUGGCCGCUGUCCUUCGUCGGCCCCACGAUGCCUGCAGGGCCCAUUAGGUAACAGACCCAAGAUGAGCGAUUAGUUCCAAAUGAUCUGGGAAGGAUAGAAGAAAGCAAAAAUGAGGAGACAACAGCUGUGGGAAGAGAAAAUUGCAGGUCACCCCAGAAGGCACAGAAUUGCUGGGCCAGCCAGCUAGAAGCAAAGCACAAUAUGGACCCGCAUGUACUUACACCUCCUCUGCCCCAAGGCAACUCCACAGACUUGAACCUCCCCACCCAUCAGAAUAGGAGAGAAUUGAAUUUAUUUCCACUUAAGUUCCCGGAGCCUGCCAUGUUCCCCAUGGACACUCAAUAAAUA